UACGUAGGGUGCAAGCGUUUGUCCGGAAUUAUUGGGCGUAAAGAGCUCGUAGGCGGUCUGUUGCGUCGGCUGUGAAAACCCCGGGGCUCAACUCCGGGCCUGCAGCCGAUACGGGCAGACUAGAGUUCGGCAGGGGAGACUGGAAUUCCUGGUGUAGCGGUGAAAUGCGCAGAUAUCAGGAGGAACACCGGUGGCGAAGGCGGCGACCUGGGUAGAUACUGACGCUGAGCGCGAAAGCGUGGGGAGCAACAGG
rnacentral:rRNA from 1 species